rfam:Aedes aegypti strain Liverpool supercont1.309 genomic scaffold, whole genome shotgun sequence.
CGAAGGAAGAAGGGGUUUCUUUCGGCCUCCAGCGGCAUUAGAAAGUUGUAGGCCGGCGGAAACUACUUGCUUCCGUCG